UACAGAGGGUGCAAGCGUUAAUCGGAAUUACUGGGCGUAAAGGGCGCGUAGGCGGACAGGCAAGUGAGAUGUGAAAUACCCGGGCUUAACCUGGGAACUGCAUCUUAAACUGCCUGUCUGGAGUACUGUAGAGGACAGUGGAAUUUCCGGUGUAGCGGUGAAAUGCGUAGAGAUCGGAAGGAACACCAGUGGCGAAGGCGACUGUCUGGACAGAUACUGACGCUGAGGCGCGAGAGCGUGGGGAGCAAACAGG
rnacentral:rRNA from 1 species